AUUGAACGCUGGCGGCAGGCCUAACACAUGCAAGUCGAGCGGAUGAAGGGAGCUUGCUCCUGGAUUCAGCGGCGGACGGGUGAGUAAUGCCUAGGAAUCUGCCUGGUAGUGGGGGAUAACGUCCGGAAACGGGCGCUAAUACCGCAUACGUCCUGAGGGAGAAAGUGGGGGAUCUUCGGACCUCACGCUAUCAGAUGAGCCUAGGUCGGAUUAGCUAGUUGGUGGGGUAAAGGCCUACCAAGGCGACGAUCCGUAACUGGUCUGAGAGGAUGAUCAGUCACACUGGAACUGAGACACGGUCCAGACUCCUACGGGAGGCAGCAGUGGGGAAUAUUGGAAAAUGGGCGAAAGCCUGAUCCAGCCAUGCCGCGUGUGUGAAGAAGGUCUUCGGAUUGUAAAGCACUUUAAGUUGGGAGGAAGGGCAGUAAGUUAAUACCUUGCUGUUCUGACGUUACCAACAGAAUAAGCACCGGCUAACUUCGUG
rnacentral:rRNA from 1 species